GUGAAACUAUUCAAGGUUAAUUUUUAGCCAGCCUUACGGAUCACAUUCGACAGUGUUCUUAGACACUUCCAAUCAUAUUUUGUUGAAACCUAGUUCAUAGCCAAACAAAAGCAUAACAUUUGAGAUUUAAAUAAAAUAAAACUAUUCUUAUGCUACUUAUAAUUAAUAAUACGAAAAGUAAAACACAAAACAAAUCAAUAACUAUGCCCAAAAACAGAAUGGGGUAAAACGAUAUAAAAUACGUUUUAUUGAAAAAUAACAAUUUAAUUAUAAAUGUGACUAAAGUAAUUUUAUUUGUGGGGUAUCCAUGAGGCAGAAUCAGAACUCAUUAAUGAAUCGAAUCCGGCAAGAAUAUAUUUGAAUAUAUCAGACACUAUUCCUUUAUUUUUUAGAUAGUUAAAAACUGGUUAAACAUUUAUUUUUAUCUGUAAACUCCACACAAUUUUGCUUUAAUAGAUGCUUAUUUAUUUAUCUCAAAUAUCCAUAUUGAUUCAAUAUUAUCUCUUUCUUAUUAUUUUGAUUAUUUUAUAGAAUAGUUUAUAGAAUUUAGUUUUAAAAAUAUCAUUAUCCUUCAAAUGAAUACAAAUCUUGAGCAUCGAUUAUGUUGCUUUAUUGCUGUCACUGACUUUUGCCUAUUUGAUGUCUUGUUGAAUGUGCAUUUUGUUAUUUUUUUAUUGUGUUUAUAUGUAUGUAUGAAUUUAUGUUU
rnacentral:lncRNA from 1 species